GUCAGAAUGCUUCUGGGAGUCGGGGGGUGGGUGCCUUUCUGUUGCUAGCUUGUAGGAGAAGCUGGGCUGUAGGAAGUUUAUUUGCGGGGGGGUCUUAAAGACGCUGAAAGUACUGGCGGGCUUUGGUGGGGGUCUGGAAAAACCUCUCUGUACCUGUGACCGCGUUGCGUGGCGGGCGCUCCCCGGCCUCUCCUUUUUGACCGGUCCCGGGCGUUGCCCAGCCGCCAGUCCUCCUGCUCGGGUUUUGUAAGCAGGAGAGGGAUGCUUUUUACGUCUUCUUAAAGUACGGUUAAGUGCCCUUGCUUGAAGUAGUUGCUGGCAACAAGAACGUAGGGGUUACUCUUUGUUGGGCCUGAACUCGUGCUUUUUCUCUCAAAAGUUGAGCUUUUGAAAGGCAAAAAAGGCGUGGGGGAUGGGGGAGCUGUCGGUCUUAAGGAAGUUAAAGGUUAUUUCCUAAACAAAACAAGUCUCACUCCUAAAACCAGGGUAGUGGCUCAGUUGUGGCGGGAGAGCAGGGGCUGUAAAGUGUCCAAGUUUCUAGUCUCAUCUUUCAGUAGGAUGGGUACAAGCUUUCCCCUUGGGGCUCUGGGGGCUGGGAGGGUUGUAAAAGUGGGAGAAAGCAAAGUAUUUGGCGGGGUGCGGGCGGGUAGCUGAAUGUUGUUGUAAGUGGAAGAGGAAUGCUGUUGGCGUCUUUCUCUAAGCACGGUUAAGUGCUUUUUCUUGAAGUAGUUACUGGCAACAAGAACGUAAGGGUUACUCUUUGUUAGGCCUGAACUCGUGCUUUUUCUCAAAAGUUUAGCUUUUGAAAGGCAAAAGUGGGGGUGGGGGCGCUGCUGCUUUUAAGGAAGUUAAAGGUUAUUUCCUAAGAAAGCAAAACAAGCCCCACUUGUAAAACCCGGGUAGUGGCUCAGCUGGAGAGCAGGCGCUGUGAAGUGUACAAGUUUCUAGUCUCAUCUUUCAGUAGAAUGGGUACAAGCUUUCCCUCGGGGCUCUGGGGGUGGGAGGGUUGUAAAAGUGGGAGAAAGCAAAGUACGUGGGUGGGGGGUAGCUAAAUGUUGUUGUAAGCGGGAGAUGGAUGCUUUUGGCGUCUUUAAGCACGGUUAACUGCCCUUGAAGUAGUUGCUGGCAACAACGUAGGGGUUACUCUGCUGGGCCUGAACUUGUGCUGUUUCUCUCUCUCAAAAGUUAAGGUUUUUAAAAGGCAAAGGCGUGGGGAGAGGGGUAGGGGAGCUGCUACUUCUAAGGACGUUAAGGGUUACUUCAGAGCAAAACAAGCCCCACUUCUAAAACCAGGGCAGUGGCUCAAUUGUGGAAGGGAGAGCAGGGAAUGUGAAGUGUCCAAGCUUCUAGUCUCGUCUUUCAGUAGCGUGGGUACAAGUUUUCCAUUGGGGCUCUGGGGGCUAGGAGGGUGGUAAAAGUGGGAGAAA
rnacentral:lncRNA from 1 species